rnacentral:rRNA from 1 species
CCUACGGGUGACAGCAGUCGGGAAUAUUGCGCAAUGGAGGAAAGUCUGACGCAGUGACGCCGCGUGCAGGAAGAAGGUUUUCGGAUUGUAAACUGCUUUAGACAGGGAAGAAUAAAGACAGUAACUGUAGAAUAAGCUCCGGCGAACUACGUGCCAGCAGCCGCGGGAAUACGUAGGGAGCAAGCGUUAUCCGGAUUUACUGGGUGUAAAGGGUGCGUAGACGGGAAAACAAGUUAGUUGUGAAAUCCCUCAGCUUAACUGAAGAACUGCAACUAAAACUAUUUUUCUUGAGUGCUGGAGAGGAAAGUGGAAUUCCUAGUGUAGCGGUGAAAUGCGUAGAUAUUAGGAGGAACACCGGUGGCGAAGGCGGCCUGCUGGACUGUGACUGACGUUGAGGCCCGAAGGCGUGGGGAGCAAACAGGAUUAGAUACCCGAGUAGUC